rnacentral:rRNA from 1 species
UACGAAGGUGGCGAGCGUUGUUCGGAUUUACUGGGCAUAAAGGGCGCGUAGGCGGUUCCGUAAGCAGCGUGUGAAAUCCCACAGCUCAACUGUGGAACUGCACGCUGGACUGCGGUUCUCGAGGACGGCAGGGGGGUGCGGAACUCUAGGUGUAGCGGUGAAAUGCGUAGAUAUCUAGAGGAACACCGGUGGCGAAAGCGACACCCUGGGCCGUCUCUGACGCUGAGGCGCGAAAGCGUGGGUAGCAAACAGGAUUAGAUACCCUGGUAGUCCACGCCGUAAACGAUGAGCACUAGGUAGCCGUUGGAACCGACCAGUGGCUGCUGUAGGAAAUCCAUUAAGUGCUCCGCCUGGGGAGUAUGGUCGCAAGGCUGAA